rnacentral:rRNA from 1 species
AGCAGCCGCGGUAAUUCCAGCUCCAAUAGCGUAUAUUAAAGUUGUUGCAGUUAAAAAGCUCGUAGUUGAAUUUCGGGAUUAGUACGUUGGUCGUGCCUUCGGUACGUACUGAUGUUACUGAUUCCUACCUUCUGACGAACCAUCAUGUCAUUAAUUUGGUGUGGCGGGGAAUCAGGACUGUUACUUUGAAAAAAUUAGAGUGUUUAAAGCAGGCUCGCGCUUGAAUACAUUAGCAUGGAAUAAUGAAAUAGGACGUUGACCCUAUUUUGUUGGUUUCUAGGAUUGACGUAAUGAUUAAUAGGGAUAGUUGGGGGCAUUAGUAUUCAAUUGUCAGAGGUGAAAUUCUUGGAUUUAUUGAAGACUAACUACUGCGAAAGCAUUUGCCAAGGAUGUUUUCAUUAAUCAAGAACGAAAGUUAGGGGAUCGAAGACGAUCAGAUACCGUCGUAGUCUUAACCAUAAACUAUGCCGACUAGGGAUCGGAUGAUGUUAUUUUUAAUGACUCA